rnacentral:rRNA from 1 species
GCAAGUCGAACGAACCUUCGGGUGAGUGGCGCACGGGUGCGUAACGCGUGGGAAUGUACCCUUGGGUGCGGAAUAACUUCUGGAAACGGACGCUAAUACCGCAUAACAUCUUCGGAUCAAAGAUUUAUCGCCCAGGGAUCAGCCCGCGUCUGAUUAGUUUGUUGGUGGGGUAACGGCCUACCAAGACUACGAUCAGUAGCUGGUCUGAGAGGAUGAUC